UGUGCCAGCCGCCGCGGUAAUACGUCGGGUGCGAGCGUUGUCCGGAAUUAUUGGGCGUAAAGAGCUUGUAGGCGGUUUGUCGCGUCUGCUGUGAAAGCCCGGGGCUUAACCCCGGGUCUGCAGUGGGUACGGGCAGGCUAGAGUGUGGUAGGGGAGACUGGAAUUCCUGGUGUAGCGGUGGAAUGCGCAGAUAUCAGGAGGAACACCGAUGGCGAAGGCAGGUCUCUGGGCCACUACUGACGCUGAGAAGCGAAAGCGUGGGGAG
rnacentral:rRNA from 1 species